rnacentral:rRNA from 1 species
GAUGAACGCUGGCGGCGUGCCUAACACAUGCCAGUCGAACGAGAAGUGGAGACGGUAACCUUCGGGCUGAAGACUUCAUUUCGAUUGGUGGCCGGGUGAUUAACUCCCUGUUAACCUGCCUCAUCUAGGGGGAUAACAGUUUGAAACGACUGUUCAUACCGCAUAACACCACUGCACCGCAUGGUGCGGUGUUAAAAACUCUGAUGGUAUGAUAUGGACCCGCGUUCGAUUAGCCAGUUGGCGGGGGAACGGCCCACCACAGCGACGAUCGAUAGCCGAGCUGAGAGGAUGACCGGACACAUUGGGACUGAGACACGGCCCAAACUCCUACGGGAGGCAGCAGUGGGGAAUAUUGCACAAUGGGGGAAACCCUGAUGCAGCGACGCCGCGUGAGUGAAGAAGUAUUUCGGUAUGUAAAGCUCUAUCAGCAGGGAAGAAAAUGACGGUACCUGAGUAAGAAGCCCCGGCUAACUACGUG